UGGAUUCGAAAGAAAAUGAAUUAGUCUUCAGAUGUGUAUGGGCUGUUACCAGAAGUUAGGCAACGAGCAAAAUCAAUGCCCAAAAUUGUCUAGCAAAUCUUCCAUAGAAAUCUCACUACCUUUCUAAGUAGGUGGGCAAUGUCAAUGAUGUUGUGAGUCACCUGGUCUUUAGAUAGGUGUUUCUUUCCUCAUAGAGGGGGGUUUUCAAUUGUAAAUGUACUAGUUCCAGGCGAAUGUAUCUUUUAUGUUUAAAGGGUUGCCAUUCUUACACCAAAUGCCCUUUGGUGAUGCCUAAUGUGAUUAUCUUUUGUGUUUAUUAGCUGAUAUGAAACAUAAGGCUAGGGGUCAGUGCAGUCUUGAAGGUAAGAAGCUCGAGCUCACUAGAAAACAAGCUCAUUUGUAGGGAUUGUAACCUGUACGGCUUUUGUAACCCGCUGAUUUUAUAUUUUGAUUACGGAUCUGAAGAAGUUAUAAGAAGGAAUACAUUAUGUUUGGGGUGGUGCAAGUUACCUGGAAGUGAGCAUUUUUUAUACUGUACAUGAGAAAAGUUAUGGGCCAUGAGAGUAGCAUGGAAUUGUGCUAUAUGGUUGUGAGUUAUGCCAUUAUCUUCAUUUCUGGGUCUAGAAAUUUCUGAAAUGAGCACCAAGAGAUGCCAGUACAGUGAUAUGGAAACCAUUGAAUUGCUGGGUUUGAAGAUUUCACAUGAACACUUUGUCAUCUCAUCAAACUUAGUUGUUGGACGUUCAUAGUUUGUGUCUGCAAAGCCUCUUUGAUAUUAGUGAUGUGUGUGAUCUAACUAGAAAAUUUGAUCUGGCAUGAAUGAACUGUUCCUGUGAACCAAUCACUUACCUGUCAAGCACGAGAAAGCUUUGCUAGACCUAAUCUCAGCAAUCUCUUACAUUUUGUUCAUUGUGGCACAAUUUUAGCAUGUUCUUACUGUUGUUGAGCAAACCAUACGAUACGACUAUAAAAUCCUUGGAAACAUGGAUGCUUUAGUUGCACCUUUAACUGUUUAAGUUGUGUUUUUAUGGCCCCUUUGAAAUGAAGGAAAAUUUCACCGCUUCCUAUGUUUUUCCUAUGAAAAUGAACUGAUCGCUGUGGAAUUCGUACACGAUUUCUAUGAAAUUCCUGCGGAGGUGUGUGUGUAUAAGUUGUGCUGUUUUCUGUUAUUUAUACAGGUGUGAAUGAUUUUAUAUAUAAUUCUCUAGUUGAUUGUAUUGUUUGUUGGAAUUUUGUUGAGAUUUUAUGUUUCAUUCGCAUUUAAGUUGUCCUGGCCUAGAAUGCUUCUUAAUUUCUUUUCAUUGCCUUGAAAUAGUUGGAGAAUGGAAACCUAACCCUAACUCAGAGUUGGGAGAUGUAUUAAUAGACCCAGGUUGUUGGGCCUGGUCCAUUACGCAGGGGUAUAACUGUAAUUACAAGGGGCUAACCCCAAAACCCUAAACAGGUACUCUAACACCCCCUUAGUCUCCACUCUACCGUGUACAUAUGUUGAGACUUGAUCAAAAAAUUGGUUAAUACACUCGACGGUAACCCCUUGGUUAAGAUGUCGACGAACUGCAGCGUGGUGGGGACACUGAGAACCCGAAUGUCACUGAAAGCGACAUGCUCACAGACAAAGUGCAGGUCGAUCUCCACGUGCUUCUUGCGCUGAUGCUGCACGGGAUUGGUGGAGAGGUAGACCGCGAUGACGUUGUCGCAGUAGACGAGGGUGGCACGCUGAAGGAGACUUUGGAGGUCCUCGAGAAGCUGGCGCAGCUAGCAGGCCUCUGCCACGCCGUUGGUCACAGCGCGGUACUCAGCCUCCGCGCUGGAGCGGGAGACGACGGGCUACCGCUUGGCGGCCCAGGAGACGAGGUUGGCGCCCAAGAACACGACAUAACCAGAAGUGAAUCGACGUGUGUCGGGACAGCCAACCCAGUUAGUGUCGGUGUAGACCACGAGCUCCGACGUCGGGGAGGGUUGGAGUAGAAGGCCGUAGUCGAGGGAGCCGCGAAGGUAGCGUAGGAUCCGCUUGAGAGCGGUGAGAUGGUGCUCCCGCGGGGUGUGCAUAUGCAUGCACACCAGUUGGACGGCGAAGGCGAUUUCGGGCCUGGAGAAGGCAGGUACUGGAGUGCGUCGGUCAGGAUCCGGUAGGACGUCGUGUCGGCGACAGAGGGCCCUGUCGUCCUCAGAGAGCUUCGCCUGAGUGUCGACAAGCGUGGAGCAGGGCAUGCAGUCGCACAUGCCAGCCCACUCCUGGAUGUCGAUGGCGUACUGGCACUGGUGGAGGAAGAGACCCUGAGGCCGGUGCUCGGCGGUGAUGCCGAGAAAGUGGUGAAGGGGUCCCAAGUCCUUCAUCGCGAACUCCCGCUGAAGGUUGACGAUUGUGCGCUGUAGAAGGUCGAUGGUGGAUGCUGUGAGCUCAAUGUCGUCGACAUAGAGCAGAAGGUAGACGGUGUCGUCGCCGCGCCGGUAGAUGAAGAGGGACUUGUCCAUCUUGGCUUCGACGAAGCCGAUGGAGGCCAAGUAGGAGGCGAAGCGACUGUACCAAGCCCACGGCGCCAGCUUGAGGCCGUAUAGGGAGCGAUUCAGCCACCAGACCAGAUCCGGACGAGCAGCGUCGACGAAGUCGGUGGGCUGGCUGCAGUAGACAGUCUAUGUCAGAGUGCUGUGGAGGAAGGCAUUCUUGAUGUCGAGUUGAUGGAUCACCUAGUUCCGGGAGAGGGCGAGGGAGAGGACGGCUUGAACAGUGGCGUACUUGAUGACGAGCUAAAGGUCUCGUCGUAGUCCACUCCGAGGCGCUAGGUGAAGCCUCGAAGGACCCAACGAACCUUGUAGCGGUCGAGGGAGCUAUCCGAGGUCAGCUUGUGGCGAAAGAGCCACUUGCCAGUGACCACGUUGGUGCCUAGUGGACGCGGCACCAUGUCCUAGGUGUGGCUGGCUAGCAGGGCCGCGUACUCCUCCAUAGUGUGACGCCAGUGGGGGUCGGCGAGGGCGGCGCGAAUGGAGGAGGGGACCGGGGAGGCGUCCGGAGGAGUGUCAGCGGCCAGGAUCAGUCGGUUGAUAGGGCGGAGAAUGCUGAUUGCGCGGUGAGUCACCAUCGGGUCGCGGUGGAUGGUGACCGGGUGGUACACAUGAGGUUUGGUGCGGGCCGACGAGGUGUCGGGAGUCGAGGGAGUGGCUUGCUUGCGGCGGUGGUAGACGAAGGCGGGGUCGGUGAAGCGAGCCACGCUCGUCGACGGGGCCGGGUUAGCAGGAGCCGAGGGAGUGGCCCGCUCGCGGAGUGGUAGACCAGGGUGGGGUUGGCGAAGCAGACCGCUCUCAUCGACGGGGCCGCGCAUGGUGUGGGAGGGGUUGACCGAGCCGCGCACGACGCAGACGUGGUCGAUGGGGCCUCGCGGGGCGCAGGUUUGGUCGACGGGGCCACACGGGGUGCAGGCAGGGUGAACGGAACCGCGUGUGAUGUGGGUAGAGGCGCGAGCGGAGGCGUCGAGGUCGCGCGUGGCGCGGGCAAUGGCGCAAGGUGAGGCGCCUAGGGUGGAGGGGAACAGGAUUGGACUCGAGGAGAGUCGAGAUCGGUGGGUUGGGAGGAGCUAGCAAGGGGAACACAUCUUCGUCGAAAAUAACGUGACGAGAGAUGAGUAUGCGGUGGGAGACGAGGUCAAGACAACGAACCCCUUGUGGUUAGAGGAGUAACCGAGGAAGAGGCAACAAGUAGAGCGGGGAGAUAGCUUAUGGGGAGCGAUGGCGGACGUGUUAGGAUAGCAGGCACAACCGAACACACGAAGGUGGUCGUAGGAGGGGGCUGUGCCAUAUAGAGCGAAGUGGGGAGUGGGGUGGCUCACCGCCUUCGAGGGGAGGCGGUUGAGGACAUGUGUGGCGGUGUUCAGGGCCUCUGCCCAGUAGCUGGCAGGGAGAGACGCUUGAAAGAGAACGCAAUGGAUCAUGUUGGUGGUGGUGUGAAUGAUGCGUUUGGCCCAUCCGUUCUGGGGAGAGUUGUAGGGGCACGAGAGACACAUCUGAACGCCAUGAGUGAGCAAGGAGCGAGAGGCGUUGUUGUUGAACUCGUGACCAUUGUCACACUGGAGGGCACGGACCGGGCAACGGAACUGGGUGGAGACCUAGGCAAAGAAGUCUAGAGAUCACAAUGGACAAGAUCAAAUGACUGAGCUACCUUGGACGUGGAAGUGGAAAAAGGAAGACGAGAGUGACGGUCGAGCUGACAAGCAUGACAGAGGCGCUCAGAGGAGCCCUGGGUAUAGGAGAUAUCUGAGCGACUGGAAACUAGGGCAUCGCGUCAGGUCCAGGAUGCCUGAGACGACGAUGCCAAACGACGGAGGUGGUGGUAGUAGCAAGAGCCUGGGGGUGACUACGCUGGUGGGGGAAGUGGAGGGUAAGUGAAUAGAGUAGAGGGGCCCGGAGCUGUCACAACAAGCAUGCACGACACACGUCGGAAGGUGGCGUAUGGUGAGCCCCCAGGGAUCGAACUCCAUAGAACAGUUGUUGUCACUCGUGAAGCGACGAACCAAGAGAAGGGGAUGAGUCAGACUGGGAGCGACAAGGACGUCGUUAAGGUAGAGUGGUCCUGGAAGAAUCGAUGCACCUACUAAGGUGAUCGGGAGGGUGGAACUGUUUCCACAACGAUAGAGGGAGAAUGUGAGGGGUAUGGAGGGUGGGAGUGGAAUAACGAGCUAGUGGUGGGAGUGGUGUGGAAGGAGGCUCCCAUUCGGUGGGAGAGCAUGAGGGUGGUGAAGCCAUGGGGUGCGCGGAAAGAGCCAGGGGAGGUGCUCUAACAAAGUCACGAGUAGGGGAGGGAGACAAGAAGGACGAAGGACAGGGCUCAUGGCACGAUCGAAGGCCAUGAAGGUGCCCCGAACAAGCUGGUUGUCUUGGAGGAGGAUGCGCACAGCGAUCCCGGCGGAAAUGGGCGAAGCCAAGAAAGAGGUGUCACCGGCGGCCAGGGCCAGGGCGGGGCCUGUGGAGGCGGUGCCAGGUGGGAGGGGCGGCACAGCCAGUGUGUCGUUGUACAAGUGGGGGAUGAAGGAGCAAGGUGCCUAUGUGUGGUAGCUGGCGCUGUCUGGGGUUGCAAGGCGGCCGGAGCGACGGCUGCGCCAGCGACGAAGGUGGGGGCGAACCAAGCUGGGAGGACAUCUGCGUGCGCGUGGGGGCGGCCUGGAGCAAGGGUGGUGGCUACGACCAGUGUCAUGGAGGAACGAUGGGGAAGAGAGCUGGAUAGGGGGGUUGGACACAGCCCAGCGACCAGGGGAGGGGCUCCCGCCACUGGCGAAGAAGAGGGCAAGCCGUGGGCGGGUCGGAGAUAGCGUCGGGUGACACUCACCGUGGUCGAGCCCGGAGCAUGGAUCCUGCCGAGGAAGAGGCGCCCGAUGCCGGCCAUGGGGUGGCAGCGGCGUGACCUGAGGUGGAGGGGAAGGGGUGGCCGGGUGCGGGCGCAUGCUUGACCACUGAGGCGGCGGCGACUCCUGUCCAGUGGACUGGUUUGCGCCAGGAGGUGGCCGGCGGCGUGAACUGCUGGUGGUGAUAGUAAGAGGGGGGGGGGGUGGCUGGCGGCCAGAGGAGGGAGGCUAGCAGCGUUCAAGGGUGGGAGGGAGGAAAGUAGAGGAAAGAAUCUAGACCUAGCUCUUGUACCAAGUUGGAGAAUGGAAACCCUAACUCAGGGUUGGGAGAUGUAUUAACAGGCUCAGGUUGUUGGGCUUGGCCUAUUACACAGGGGUAUAACUGUAAUUAUAAGGGGCUAACCCUAAACCCUAAACGAGUACUCUAACAGAAAUAUCUAGCUAUUGGUGUUUGGGCUAAUAAAGAGAUAAACUGUUUACCUAUGAUUCAUUUAUACUCUCUCUGGUUUACUAUUGUUUUGGACAUGGAAUGAUCUUUUGAAUAGCCUUUUCCAAAUUAGCAUUUUACCGAAGUUUUACAUGUAAAAUGAUUUAAUGUGCUUAUGUCUCAUGAUAUAUUUACUACUCCCUACGUUCUAAAAUAUUAGUCGUUGUAGCCCUUAAAUUUUAUGUCUAUAUUCAAAUGGAUGUCAAUGUAUGUAGACAUAUAUAAGAUACAUAUAUUAAAUAUUGUAUGAAUCUAUCAAAAUGUUAAAACGACUAAUAUUUUGAAACGGAGUGAGUAUUUUUCAUGUAAUGGUAAACAAGAGAAUUUUGAAUGCCAUUUCAACGGAACAAGUAAAUUGUGCUUAUACCCCAUACUACAUUGUUGUCGCAACUCUUGAAUUAGAGGAAUGCAUUCUUCUAUGUUUGACCGAUAUUGGCAACCUAGUUCACUUGAAAUUAUAGAAGUAUUUACCUAGGACUGUUAGGUUAUGGGGCUCUUGUGUGGCCGUGUUUUAUGAGCCUGGAGUUUGUUAGGUUUGACUCAAAUCACUCCUUCCAUUAGAAUGAAUGUUUUACUGAGUCAAACUUCUCUAACCUCGAUCACACAAGAAUGCACCAGCAUUAAAACAUCAAUUAGUUUUGUUAAGUCUCCAUGGAACAUGUCUUCAACAGCUAUCCUAUACUAUCCCCUAUUUCAAACUUCAUACUGAAUAUAUAAUACAUUUUUUUAUAACAUGGUCUAAGUUAAAUGCUAAUGUAUUGUAUAAGUUUGAUGAUGUGUAAGGUUGUCCGCAGCAGAUUGUGUAAAAUAGAGGAUUUGCACUCUAUUUGCAAAGUGAAGUUUGAAAUAGAGGAUAAUAUAGGAUAGUUGUUGGAGACAGCCUAACUAUGUUUCCGGAGGUUGGUUGUUACACACUUUUUCCUUUGUGAUGCCAGAUAAAAUGUUGUGUCUGUACUUUAUCUUGCUUCUCAGAUGUUAAAGUUAUACAUGAAAGAAUGAAAUUUGGCGGGACCAUUAUUUUUUUCUUUCUCAAAAUUGGCCAGUCCUAUUUAGGAAUUGGUUCCAAACAUAAUGUUGUACUUCUUCAGUAAUGUUUUGAGAGUUCAUUCGUGGUCGUAAUCGUUUCUCGCCCUUGCCUAGUGUUGUCAAUCUUGGGUUACAUGUUACAAAUUUACAUGUAAUGUAAUGCUCUUCCUUUUAACAUUUUGCGGAACUACUAAUCAUUUCUUUGUUUCUUGCUUUUGAAUUAUUAUUAUUGUUGCAGGGGCACGCAAGGUUCGUUCCAUGACCGAGGGCUGAGGUGAACGCAAGUCCGGUGUCGCCAGUUGCAAACUUGCAACACUGUUGCUUUAGACUGCCAUGUUGAAUAAUACUUCUAGCAAAAGAUACGCCAAUCACAGUUUACAUGUGGGUUGCGCCAUGAUUGUAUUGUUACGGGUGUUCGGUGAACCCCAACAGUUAUGCCGAUACAAAGACGAGACGCAACAAUAGAACUGUUAAUAAAGGACAAUGGGCUUGUUUCAGCUUGGCUUCUCACUCUGUUUUUUGAUAAUCGUUUCUAUAAAAAUCGUCCAAAUCACUUCUCAGUCGUUAGACGGGAGGAAUUUAUCGUUUUUUAUACACUAAAUCGUGUAGACGUUUUCACCAUCAUAUGGUUUGCGAUAUUUAGAUUCUUAUGGUAGCUAGAUUAUUCAGAAAUCUAGAUUUUUAGAAGUCUUCAGAAAAAAACUGCCCC
rnacentral:lncRNA from 1 species